UGGGGAAUUUUGGACAAUGGGCGAAAGCCUGAUCCAGCAAUGCCGCGUGUGUGAAGAAGGCCUUCGGGUUGUAAAGCACUUUUGUCCGGAAAGAAAUCCUCUGGGUUAAUACCUCGGGGGGAUGACGGUACCGGAAGAAUAAGCACCGGCUAACUACGUGCCAGCAGCCGCGGUAAUACGUAGGGUGCAAGCGUUAAUCGGAAUUACUGGGCGUAAAGCGUGCGCAGGCGGUUUUGUAAGACGGAUGUGAAAUCCCCGGGCUUAACCUGGGAACUGCAUUCGUGACUGCAAGGCUAGAGUAUGGCAGAGGGGGGUAGAAUUCCACGUGUAGCAGUGAAAUGCGUAGAGAUGUGGAGGAAUACCGAUGGCGAAGGCAGCCCCCUGGGCCAAUACUGACGCUCAUGCACGAAAGCGUGGGGAGCAAACAGGAUUAGAUACCCUGGUAGUCCACGCCCUAAACGAUGUCAACUAGUUGUUGGGGAUUCAUUUCCUUAGUAACGUAGCUAACGCGUGAAGUUGACCGCCUGGGGAGUACGGUCGCAAGAUUAAAA
rnacentral:rRNA from 1 species